GACGAACGCUGGCGGCGUGCUUAACACAUGCAGGUCGAACGGAAAGGCCCUGCUUUUGUGGGGUGCUCGAGUGGCGAACGGGUGAGUAACACGUGAGUAACCUGCCCUUGACUUUGGGAUAACUUCAGGAAACUGGGGCUACUACCGGAUAGGAGCUCCUGCUGCAUGGUGGGGGUUGGAAAGUUUCGGCGGUUGGGGAUGGACUCGCGGCUUAUCAGCUUGUUGGUGGGGUAGUGGCUUACCAAGGCUUUGACGGGUAGCCGGCCUGAGAGGGUGACCGGCCACAUUGGGACUGAGAUACGGCCCAGACUCCUACGGGAGGCAGCAGUGGGGAAUAUUGCACAAUGGGCGGAAGCCUGAUGCAGCAACGCCGCGUGCGGGAUGACGGCCUUCGGGUUGUAAACCGCUUUCGCCUGUGACGAAGCGUGAGUGACGGUAAUGGGUAAAGAAGCACCGGCUAACUACGUG
rnacentral:rRNA from 1 species